UACGGAGGAUGCGAGCGUUAUCCGGAUUUAUUGGGUUUAAAGGGUGCGCAGGCGGCGCGUUAAGUCAGCGGUAAAAUUUCGGGGCUCAACCCCGACGAGCCGUUGAAACUGUGUGGCUGGAGACGGAGAGAAGUAGGCGGAAUGCGCGGUGUAGCGGUGAAAUGCAUAGAUAUCGCGCAGAACUCCGAUUGCGAAGGCAGCCUACCGUAGCGUUACUGACGCUGAGGCUCGAAGGUGCGGGUAUCGAA
rnacentral:rRNA from 1 species